GACGAACCGUGCGACCGUUAUUCGGAAUCAUUGGGCUUAAAGGGCGCGUAGGCGGCGGCGUAAGUUGGAAGUGAAAUCCCAUCGGCUCAACCGUGGAAUUGCUCCCAGUACUGCGUCGCUCGAGGGGGAUAGGGGUCUGCGGAACUACCGGUGGAGCGGUGAAAUGUGUUGAUAUCGGUGGGAACGCCAGUGGCGAAAGCGGCAGACUGGACCCUUCCUGACGCUGAGGCGCGAAAGCUAGGGGAGCAAACGGG
rnacentral:rRNA from 1 species